rnacentral:rRNA from 1 species
UGGGGAAUUUUGGACAAUGGGCGAAAGCCUGAUCCAGCAAUGCCGCGUGUGUGAAGAAGGCCUUCGGGUUGUAAAGCACUUUUAUCAGGAGCGAAACGCUGUCGGCUAAUACCCGGCGGAACUGACGGUACCUGAGGAAUAAGCACCGGCUAACUUCGUGCCAGCAGCCGCGGUAAUACGAGGGGUGCAAGCGUUAAUCGGAAUUACUGGGCGUAAAGCGUGCGUAGGCGGUUUCUUAAGUCUGCUGUGAGAUCCCCGGGCUCAACCUGGGAAUGGCAGUGGAUACUGGGAGGCUAGAGUGUGUCAGAGGGUGGUGGAAUUCCCGGUGUAGCGGUGAAAUGCGUAGAGAUCGGGAGGAACAUCAGUGGCGAAGGCGGCCACCUGGGACAACACUGACGCUGAGGCACGAAAGCGUGGGAAGCAAACAGGAUUAGAUACCCUGGUAGUCCACGCCCUAAACGAUGCGAACUGGAUGUUGGUCUCAACUCGGAGAUCAGUGUCGAAGCUAACGCGUUAAGUUCGCCGCCUGGGGAGUACGGUCGCAAGACUGAAACUCAAAUGAAUUGAC